GAACCGGUGGUGUAGUGGUAAGACAUUGCGUCCGAAACGUGGGCAGGGGUGGUUCGAUCCCCUCCCGGUUCG
rnacentral:tRNA from 1 species